rnacentral:rRNA from 1 species
UACGGGGGGGGGCAAGCGUUGUUCGGAAUUACUGGGCGUAAAGGGCUCGUAGGCGGCCAACUAAGUCAGACGUGAAAUCCCUCGGCUUAACCGGGGAACUGCGUCUGAUACUGGAUGGCUUGAAUCCGGGAGAGGGAUGCGGAAUUCCAGGUGUAGCGGUGAAAUGCGUAGAUAUCUGGAGGAACACCGGUGGCGAAGGCGGCAUCCUGGACCGGCAUUGACGCUGAGGCGCGAAAGCCAGGGGAGCAAAACGGG